rnacentral:rRNA from 1 species
CACGUAGGGCGCAAGCGUUGUCCGGAAUUAUUGGGCGUAAAGAGCUCGUAGGCGGUCUGUUGCGUCCGCUGUGAAAACCCGGGGCUUAACCCUGGGCUGGCAGUGGAUACGGACAGACUAGAGGUAGGUAGGGGAGAAUGGAAUUCCCGGUGUAGCGGUGAAAUGCGCAGAUAUCGGGAGGAACACCGGUGGCGAAAGCGGCUUCCUGGACCAGCACCGACGUUCAGGCACGAAAGCGUGGGGAGCAAACAGG